rnacentral:rRNA from 1 species
AUACGAAGGGUGCUAGCGUUGUUCGGAAUUACUGGGCGUAAAGAGCAUGUAGGCGGAUUGAUUAGUCAGAGGUGAAAGCCCCGAGCUCAACUUGGGAAUUGCCUUUGAUACUGUCAAUCUAGAGACCGAGAGAGGUGAGUGGAAUUCCCAGUGUAGAGGUGAAAUUCGUAGAUAUUGGGAAGAACACCAGUGGCGAAGGCGGCUCACUGGCUCGGUACUGACGCUGAGAUGCGAAAGCGUGGGGAGCAAACAGGAUUAGAAACCCUUGUAGUCC